GACGAACGCUGGCGGCGUGCUUAACACAUGCAAGUCGAACGGAAAGGCCCUGCUUUUGUGGGGUGCUCGAGUGGCGAACGGGUGAGUAACACGUGAGUAACCUGCCCUUGACUUUGGGAUAACUUCAGGAAACUGGGGCUAAUACCGGAUAGGAGCUCCUGCUGCAUGGUGGGGGUUGGAAAGUUUCGGCGGUUGGGGAUGGACUCGCGGCUUAUCAGCUUGUUGGUGGGGUAGUGGCUUACCAAGGCUUUGACGGGUAGCCGGCCUGAGAGGGUGACCGGCCACAUUGGCCUGUAGACCCGCCCCUACCUCCUGCGGGCGCGACAAGGGGGAAAGUUACCACAAGGGGCGGAGCCCGAACGACGGAAGCCCCGGUGCGGAAUGCCGCCUUUCGGGUUGAAACCCCCUUUCUCGUGGAAGCAACGGUGAGGGAGGGAAGGGGGUAAGGAACACCGGUCUAACCACUAG
rnacentral:rRNA from 1 species